rnacentral:tRNA from 1 species
GAGCCAUUAGCUCAGGUGGUAGAGCACCUGACUUUUAAUCAGGUAGUCGGAGGUUCGAAUCCUCCAUGGCUCACCA